rfam:Corchorus capsularis cultivar CVL-1 contig13028, whole genome shotgun sequence.
UUGUCAUCUUGAGUUCUCCUGAUCACUUCAUUGGGAGCUGAUCCUUUCGGACCCUUCAUAACGAGGGUGUUCUGAGUUCUGCAAGCCUACUGAAGUGUUUGGGGGAACUCUGGCUGCCAC